ACAAGUCUGGUCCUAUCUUUGCGACAAG
rnacentral:sRNA from 1 species